GGUGGCCAUACCGUCCAGUGAAUGCCUGAUCAUGUCAGAUCUCAGAAACUAAGCAGGGCCAGGCCUGGUUAGUACUUGGAUGGGAGACCACCGUGGAAGACUAGGAGCCACUAGAU
rnacentral:rRNA from 12 species